rnacentral:rRNA from 1 species
UCUGGUGAUUUGUCGCAGAGGCCACACCCGUUCUCAUUCCGAACACGGCAGUUAAGCUCUGUUGAGGCGAUGGUACUCCUAUGGGGGAGAGUAGCUAGUCGCCAGAA